ACGAGUUAACUGAACCUUCGGGGAACGUUAACGGCGUCGAGCGGCGGACGGGUGAGUAAUGCCUGGGAAAUUGCCCUGAUGUGGGGGAUAACCAUUGGAAACGAUGGCUAAUACCGCAUAAUAGCUUCGGCUCAAAGAGGGGGACCUUCGGGCCUCUCGCGUCAGGAUAUGCCCAGGUGGGAUUAGCUAGUUGGUGAGGUAAUGGCUCACCAAGGCGACGAUCCCUAGCUGGUCUGAGAGGAUGAUCAGCCACACUGGAACUGAGACACGGUCCAGACUCCUACGGGAGGCAGCAGUGGGGAAUAUUGCACAAUGGGCGCAAGCCUGAUGCAGCCAUGCCGCGUGUAUGAAGAAGGCCUUCGGGUUGUAAAGUACUUUCAGCAGUGAGGAAGGUGGGUAUGUUAAUAGCAUAUUCAUUUGACGUUAGCUGCAGAAGAAGCACCGGCUAACUCCGUGCCAGCAGCCGCGGUAAUACGGAGGGUGCGAGCGUUAAUCGGAAUUACUGGGCGUAAAGCGCAUGCAGGUGGUUUGUUAAGUCAGAUGUGAAAGCCCGGGGCUCAACCUCGGAAUUGCAUUUGAAACUGGCAAACUAGAGUACUGUAGAGGGGGGUAGAAUUUCAGGUGUAGCGGUGAAAUGCGUAGAGAUCUGAAGGAAUACCGGUGGCGAAGGCGGCCCCCUGGACAGAUACUGACACUCAGAUGCGAAAGCGUGGGGAGCAAACAGGAUUAGAUACCCUGGUAGUCCACGCCGUAAACGAUGUCUACUUGGAGGUUGUGGCCUUGAGCCGUGGCUUUCGGAGCUAACGCGUUAAGUAGACCGCCUGGGGAGUACGGUCGCAAGAUUAAAACUCAAAUGAAUUGACGGGGGCCCGCACAAGCGGUGGAGCAUGUGGUUUAAUUCGAUGCAACGCGAAGAACCUUACCUACUCUUGACAUCUACAGAAGCCAGCGGAGACGCAGGUGUGCCUUCGGGAACUGUAAGACAGGUGCUGCAUGGCUGUCGUCAGCUCGUGUUGUGAAAUGUUGGGUUAAGUCCCGCAACGAGCGCAACCCUUAUCCUUGUUUGCCAGCACUUCGGGUGGGAACUCCAGGGAGACUGCCGGUGAUAAACCGGAGGAAGGUGGGGACGACGUCAAGUCAUCAUGGCCCUUACGAGUAGGGCUACACACGUGCUACAAUGGCGCAUACAGAGGGCGGCCAACUUGCGAAAGUGAGCGAAUCCCAAAAAGUGCGUCGU
rnacentral:rRNA from 1 species